rnacentral:misc_RNA from 1 species
AUGAAGAACGUAGUGAAAUGCGAUAAGUAGUGUGAAUUGCAGAAUUCAGUGAAUCAUCGAAUCUUUGAACGCACAUUGCGCCCCAUGGUAUUCCGUGGGGCAUGCCUGUUCGAGCGUCAUUUACCCCCUCAAGCUCCGCUUGGUGUUGGGCGUCUGUCCCGCUUCGCGCGCGGACUCGCCCCAAAGGUAUUGGCAGCGGUCGUGCCAGCUUCUCGCGCAGCACAUUGCGCUUCUCGAGGCACCGGUGGGCCCGCGUCCAUCAAGCUCACCCCCCCAGUUUGACCUCGGAUCAGGUAGGGAUACCCGCUGAACUUAAGCAUAUCAAUAAGCGGAGGA